ACGGGAGGCAGCAGUGGGGAAUAUUGCACAAUGGGGGAAACCCUGAUGCAGCGACGCCGCGUGAGUGAAGAAGUAUCUCGGUAUGUAAAGCUCUAUCAGCAGGGAAGAAAACAAUGACGGUACCUGACUAAGAAGCCCCGGCUAACUACGUGCCAGCAGCCGCGGUAAUACGUAGGGGGCAAGCGUUAUCCGGAUUUACUGGGUGUAAAGGGAGCGUAGACGGCGUGGCAAGUCUGAAGUGAAAGCCCGGGGCUCAACCCCGGGACUGCUUUGGAAACUGUCAUGCUAGAGUGCAGGAGAGGUAAGUGGAAUUCCUAGUGUAGCGGUGAAAUGCGUAGAUAUUAGGAGGAACACCAGUGGCGAAGGCGGCUUACUGGACUGUAACUGACGUUGAGGCUCGAAAGCGUGGGGAGCAAGCAGGAUUAGAUACCCUGGUA
rnacentral:rRNA from 1 species